GAUGAACGCUGGCGGCGUGCCUAAUACAUGCAAGUCGAGCGAACAGACGAGGAGCUUGCUCCUCUGACGUUAGCGGCGGACGGGUGAGUAACACGUGGAUAACCUACCUAUAAGACUGGGAUAACUUCGGGAAGCCGGAGCUAAUACCGGAUAAUAUAUUGAACCGCAUGGUUCAAUAGUGAAAGACGGUUUUGCUGUCACUUAUAGAUGGAUCCGCGCCGCAUUAGCUAGUUGGUAAGGUAACGGCUUACCAAGGCAACGAUGCGUAGCCGACCUGAGAGGGUGAUCAGCCACACUGGAACUGAGACACGGUCCAGACUCCUACGGGAGGCAGCAGUAGGGAAUCUUCCGCAAUGGGCGAAAGCCUGACGGAGCAACGCCGCGUGAGUGAUGAAGGUCUUCGGAUCGUAAAACUCUGUUAUUAGGGAAGAACAAAUGUGUAAGUAACUAUGCACGUCUUGACGGUACCUAAUCAGAAAGCCACGGCUAACUACGUG
rnacentral:rRNA from 1 species